GUGGGGAAUCUUGCGCAAUGGGCGAAAGCCUGACGCAGCCAUGCCGCGUGAAUGAUGAAGGUCUUAGGAUUGUAAAAUUCUUUCACCGGGGACGAUAAUGACGGUACCCUGAGAAUAAGGAUCGGCUAACUCCGUGCCAGCAGCCGCGGUAAUACGGAGGAUCCUAGCGUUAUCCGGAUUUAUUGGGUUUAAAGGGUGCGUAGGUGGUAUGAUAAGUCAGUGGUGAAAUCCUGCAGCUUAACUGUAGACUUGCCAUUGAUACUGGCGCUCUUGAGUGCGCUUGAAGUGGUCGGAAUGUGCCGUGUAGCGGUCAAAUGCUUAGAUAUGGCACAGAACACCAAUUGCGAAGACAGCUCACUAAGGCGAUACUGACGCUGAGGCACGAAAGCGUGGGGAUCGAACAGGAUUAGAUACCCUGGUAGUCC
rnacentral:rRNA from 1 species